GAUGCAAACUACGAAUACCGAAGAAUGUUAUCACGGGAGACACACGGCGGGUGCUAACGUCCGUCGUGAAGAGGGAAACAACCCAGACCGCCAGCUAAGGUCCCAAAGUCAUGGUUAAGUGGGAAACGAUGUGGGAAGGCACAGACAGCCAGGAUGUUGGCUUAGAAGCAGCCAUCAUUUAAAGAAAGCGUAAUAGCUCACUGGUCGAGUCGGCCUGCGCGGAAGAUGUAACGGGGCUAAACCAUGCACCGAAGCUGCGGCAGCGACACUAUGUGUUGUUGGGUAGGGGAGCGUUCUGUAAGCCUGCGAAGGUGACCUGUGAGGGUUGCUGGAGGUAUCAGAAGUGCGAAUGCUGACAUAAGUAACGAUAAAGCGGGUGAAAAGCCCGCUCGCCGGAAGACCAAGGGUUCCUGUCCAACGUUAAUCGGGGCAGGGUGAGUCGACCCCUAAGGCGAGGCCGAAAGGCGUAGUCGAUGGGAAACAGGUUAAUAUUCCUGUACUUGGUGUUACUGCGAAGGGGGGACGGAGAAGGCUAUGUUAGCCGGGCGACGGUUGUCCCGGUUUAAGCAUGUAGGCUGAUUGUCCAGGCAAAUCCGGAUAAUCAAGGCUGAGGUGUGAUGACGAGGCACUACGGUGCUGAAGUAACAAAUGCCCUGCUUCCAGGAAAAGCCUCUAAGCAUCAGGUAACAUUAAAUCGUACCCCAAACCGACACAGGUGGUCAGGUAGAGAAUACCAAGGCGCUUGAGAGAACUCGGGUGAAGGAACUAGGCAAAAUGGUGCCGUAACUUCGGGAGAAGGCACGCUGGUGUGUAGGUGAAGUCCCUGCGGAUGGAGCUGAGACCAGUCGAAGAUACCAGCUGGCUGCAACUGUUUAUUAAAAACACAGCACUGUGCAAACACGAAAGUGGACGUAUACGGUGUGACGCCUGCCCGGUGCCGGAAGGUUAAUUGAUGGGGUUAUCCGUAAGGAGAAGCUCUUGAUCGAAGCCCCGGUAAACGGCGGCCGUAACUAUAACGGUCCUAAGGUAGCGAAAUUCCUUGUCGGGUAAGUUCCGACCUGCACGAAUGGCGUAAUGAUGGCCAGGCUGUCUCCACCCGAGACUCAGUGAAAUUGAACUCGCUGUGAAGAUGCAGUGUACCCGCGGCAAGACGGAAAGACCCCGUGAACCUUUACUAUAGCUUGACACUGAACAUUGAGCCUUGAUGUGUAGGAUAGGUGGGAGGCUUUGAAGCGUGGACGCCAGUCUGCGUGGAGCCAACCUUGAAAUACCACCCUUUAAUGUUUGAUGUUCUAACGUUGGCCCCUGACCGGGGUUGCGGACAGUGUCUGGUGGGUAGUUUGACUGGGGCGGUCUCCUCCCAAAGCGUAACGGAGGAGCACGAAGGUUAGCUAAUCCUGGUCGGACAUCAGGAGGUUAGUGCAAUGGCAUAAGCUAGCUUGACUGCGAGCGUGACGGCGCGAGCAGGUGCGAAAGCAGGUCAUAGUGAUCCGGUGGUUCUGAAUGGAAGGGCCAUCGCUCAACGGAUAAAAGGUACUCCGGGGAUAACAGGCUGAUACCGCCCAAGAGUUCAUAUCGACGGCGGUGUUUGGCACCUCGAUGUCGGCUCAUCACAUCCUGGGGCUGAAGUAGGUCCCAAGGGUAUGGCUGUUCGCCAUUUAAAGUGGUACGCGAGCUGGGUUUAGAACGUCGUGAGACAGUUCGGUCCCUAUCUGCCGUGGGCGCUGGAGAAUUGAGGGGGGCUGCUCCUAGUACGAGAGGACCGGAGUGGACGCAUCACUGGUGUUCGGGUUGUCAUGCCAAUGGCACUGCCCGGUAGCUAAAUGCGGAAGAGAUAAGUGCUGAAAGCAUCUAAGCACGAAACUUGCCCCGAGAUGAGUUCUCCCUGAGACUUUAAGUCUCCUGAAGGAACGUUGAAGACGACGACGUUGAUAGGCCGGGUGUGUAAGCGCAGCGAUGCGUUGAGCUAACCGGUACUAAUGAACCGUGAGGCUUAACC
rnacentral:rRNA from 1 species